AGCCAUCUUGUUGCUUACCACAAGCUGUUCUUACACUGACCAUAUAGAAAGAGGAGGCAGAGUAAACCCACCCCUUGUACACCUCAGUUCAGACAGGCCUUUUGCCUACUCUGUAUUGUGAAUAGGGGAACAUGG
ensembl:snoRNA